rnacentral:rRNA from 2 species
CGUAGGUGAACCUGCGGAAGGAUCAUUAUUGAGUAUUUACACCUUGGGAAGGUUGUCGGCUGGCCACUUUUAAAGGCAAUGUGCACACCUGUCCCUUGGCGCUCUACUUGCUUUAUCCUCCUGUGCACUUCUUGUGGCUUUCUGCUCUCUCUGUAUGGUUGAGCGGUGGUCAUGCCCUAUCUACUGUAGACGAGUGUAAUUGAGUGUGCUUGUGAUUAGUAUCCUUAUACAACUUUCAGCAACGGAUCUCUUGGCUCUCGCAUCGAUGAAGAACGCAGCGAAAUGCGAUAAGUAAUGUGAAUUGCAGAAUUCAGUGAAUCAUCGAAUCUUUGAACGCACCUUGCACUCCUUGGUAUUCCGAGGAGUACGCCUGUUUGAGUGUCAGUUGAUCUAUAACGCACCUGGGAACCAUGCUCAGGAGGCUGUCUUUGAAGUGGGGAAUGCUUGCCUUCUGUGUUGUCUGUCAGGUAGUCGGCCGUUCCUUCGGGGGGUCCUGUAUACACCUGUCUUGGGCUUUUAGCAUGUUGGGUAGGCUUCCCUGAAAUGCAUUUGCGAGGGUUGCUUGUGGGCUUUUAUAGGUGUCAUAGUUCUAUGCGCCGGCAAGUCUGCUUGUGGUGACCCUGCUGUCCAACCAUGUCUGAAAAGGGCAUCUUGACAAACUUGACCUCAAAUCAGGUGGACUACCCG